rnacentral:rRNA from 1 species
UACAGAGGUCUCAAGCGUUGUUCGGAUUCAUUGGGCGUAAAGGGUGCGUAGGCGGCGCGGUAAGACGGGUGUGAAAUCUCGGGGCUUAACUCCGAAACUGCAUUCGAUACUGCCGUGCUUGAGGACUGGAGAGGAGACUGGAAUUUACGGUGUAGCGGUGAAAUGCGUAGAUAUCGUAAGGAAGACCAGUGGCGAAGGCGGGUCUCUGGACAGUUCCUGACGCUGAGGCACGAAGGUCAGGGGAGCAAACGGG